UAAGGAAUAUUGGACAAUGGUCGAAAGACUGAUCCAGCCAUGCCGCGUGAAGGAUGAAGGCCCUAUGGGUUGUAAACUUCUUUUGUAUGGGAAAAAACCUCUCUACGUGUAGAGAGCUGAUUGUACCAUAAGAAUAAGGAUCGGCUAACUCCGUGCCAGCAGCCGCGGUAAUACGGAGGAUCCAAGCGUUAUCCGGAUUCAUUGGGUUUAAAGGGUGCGUAGGCGGAAUGAUAAGUCAGUGGUGAAAGCCCUCAGCUUAACUGAGGAACUGCCAUUGAUACUGUCAAUCUUGAGUACAUUUGAUGUGGGCGGAAUGUGUCAUGUAGCGGUGAAAUGCUUAGAUAUGACACAGAACACCGAUUGCGAAGGCAGCUCACUAGGAUACAACUGACGCUGAGGCACGAAAGCGUGGGGAUCAAACAGG
rnacentral:rRNA from 1 species